rnacentral:lncRNA from 9 species
AGUGGAUUACAGGAUCCAGUACUGCCGCAGCUGCAGCAUAAGUCACAGCUGCAGCUCAGAUUCGAUCCCUGGCCUGGGACCUUCUGUAUAUCCAGGAUGCAGCAAUAAAAAAAAAAUUGUUUUAGCUACAAUACUAUGAUACAUACUAUUCCUUGACCUACUAUAAGGUGUGUCCAAAUAAUUUGUUAGUGAUAAUAGAGUACUAAAGUUUGUGAAUAUCAUUCAUUUUUUUUUUAAGGGAGAAGAUGCAAGGUCAUCCACAUAUCCUUUCUCUCUCUCAUUUGCAUUCAGAUAUACUUUCUUGCGUGGUUGCAAAAGGGGCGAUGUUCGAGCUGAUUUAGGAAAUUGCAAAUGAGUGCCACACAUACAGAUGUCAGCUGUCAGCAGGUGCUCCCAGAAGCCUCAUGGAAAACAGAUUAUACUCAGCUCUCUGGGAUCUGAUGAAUCGAUAUAAUAGGAGGGCAUUGAAAAGCAGAAGUGGAACAUCUAGAUUUCAAGAUGGAUCAAGAAAACCGUCGGAGCUUGAGAAGCCACUUUCUCCUUGACCCACACACUGCUUGAUCUCUUGGAAACUGCCAACCCUGGAAAGAAGCAUUUUUGACUUCCCGUCUGGCCUGGAUGAAACACAAAGGGAACUUAAGGCAAGAGAUAUUUUAAUGUCUUUUUCUACUUUCUUUCAGUCUCUGUGAUAGCCACCUAAAUCCACAGGCUGAGGGCUAAUGCAUGUGGAAAGGAAACGAAAUCUUCUCAGCAUGUGUGCUCCUCUGACAUUUUGAUUAGCGCAGAGAAAUUGGAAGGCAGCACAUCCCC